ACCUGGGUGGCUCAGUCAGUUGAGCAUCUGACUUCAGCUCAGGUCACGAUCUCGUGGUUCGUGGGUUCAAGCCCUGCGUCAGGCU
rnacentral:tRNA from 1 species